UUCCGGCGCCGGCGCUUCUGAGGUUUCCUCAGUGAUGUCGUGGUUACGAGCCGCUUCCUUGGUCCAGGGUCCUGGAGAGGAGAGGGACGUUUUUGACGAGGAAGCUGACGAGUCGGUCCUGGUGCAGCGGGAAUGGCGGAACCACAUGCAGAGACGAGUCAAAGAAGGCUAUAGAGAUGGAAUAGAAGCUGGCAAAGCAGUUACUCUUCAACAAGGUUUCAAUCAAGGUUUUAAGGAAGGUGCAGAAGUCAUUAUGAACUAUGGACAACUCAGAGGAACAUUGAGUGCUUUGCUCUCCUGGUGUCACCUUCAUGAUAGUAAUUCGGCUUUGAUCAGUAAAAUAAAUAAUCUUCUGGAUGCAGUUGGCCAGUGUGAAGAGUAUGUGCUCAGACAUCUGAAAUCAAUCACUCCACAGCCCCAUGUUGUAGAUUUAUUGGACUCCAUUCAGGAUAUGGACCUUUGUCAUAUAGCUCCAGCUGAGGAAAAGAUUGAUGAAGCUAAAGAUGAAAGAUUCUAUGAAAAUAAUGCUGAAUUUAACAAAAACUGUAGCAAGAAUCUUAGUGGGGUAGAUUGUUCAUCUUUAAAAUAUUGUAGAACACAGGAGCAUGCACAUUCCGAAAACCCAAGCCUCACUUGGAUUUUAGAACAGACAGCCAGUUUGGUAAAACAGCUGGGAGUAUCAGUAGACAUAUUACAGCACCUCAAACAACUAUAAAAAUUAUCUUCACUUUAAUAUUGAAAAUAAUAUUCAGAACAUUCUUAGAAUAUUUUGUUUCUGAACAAGCUAACCAAAAUUUGUACUGGUUUCUACAUUGAACACUUCACUUGUAAGGUUAUCCUUCAUGGAAGUUUGAAAUGUCUUCAAAAUUAACACUAUUUAAUAUAAGCCUACUUUCUUUGUCACUGGUAAUUUUUAUGUGGUUUAAGAUAUGCUCGGAAAUUCUAGUUGUCAUCAUUUUCAAAUUUCUGAUCAAAAUCAAGCAUUUUUGAACUCAUUAUUAGCAGAAAUGAACAAGAAUCAGACUACAGUUAACCCUUGAACAACACAGGUGUUAGUGGUACCCACCCACCAUGCAGUUAAAAAUCCGCAUAUUACUUAUAGCUGGCCCUCCAUACCUGCAGUUGCGAGUCUCAGAUUCAACCAAUCUCAGAUCGUACGGUACUGUAGUAUUUACUACUGAAAAAAUAUCCAAGUAUAAGUGGACCCUAAGAGUUCACACUCUUGCGGUUCAAGCAUCAAAUGUUAUUUUGUAAGGUCUUAGCCCUACCUUCUGCUCUUAUCACAUUGUCUUGUGAUUAGGACCUCACCUUGUAAUCAGACCAAAGUUACAAAAAAUUACCUAAUGGCUAAAGUUGUAAAUAGACACACAUAGAUAUAUAUAGAUAUGUAGACGUAUAUAUAUUGAAAUUAAGAGGCUAAUAAGUGUAAAGCUGAAAAAAAUGUUUAUACUGAUAGUUAAAACAAAAUACCAAAGUUUGUUUUAGUUUUUUUAUUGAGGUAUAAUUGAUUUAUAAUGUUUCGGGUAUACAGCAAAGUGAUUCAGUUAUACAUUUUUUUUCAGAUUUUUUCCAUUAUAGGUUAUUACAAAAUAUUGAAUAUAGUUCCCUGUGCUAUAUAGUAGGUCCUUUUUGUUUAUUUUAUAUAUAGUAAUGUGUAUAUGUUAAUCCUAAACUUCUAAUUUAUCCCCACCUCCUUUCCCUUUUGGUAACUGUAAGUUUGUUUUCUAUGUCUGUGAGUCUAUUUCUGUUUUGUAAAUAAGUUCAUUUGUAUCAUUUUUUAGAUUCCACAUAUAAGUGAUAUCAUACCAUAUUUGUUAAAGUUUGUUUCAGUUUUGUGUUUAUUAAAAGUAAGGACACAGUUCCAUGAAAAAUACAGAAAAUACAUUUCAUGCUAAAGUACUUACUUAGCUUAUCCAAGUUUUGAGUUAGUAGUGUUACCUGACAGUGUGCCAGAUUAUUCCUAAACUGCAGUUUUGCUUCAUAUUUAUUUAGGAAUAAAACAUUGAAGCCACUGACUUCUGUAUUAUCUUGUAGCAAUAUUCUUAGUCUAGCAUAGACAAAAUGAGAUUCAAACUUAUGCUCCAGGACCUAAACAUAUAAAAUCAGGAAAGGAUUUUUCAUCACUUUUUUGCCUGAAACACAAAUUUAUGUAACAUGCCUGACUUCAGAGGCACCCAAAUAAUUGCCUCUCAUUGAUAGCCAUAAUUUAUAUCUACCAUCUACUGUAAAAGACUGAUACCCUGAGAAAAUCUUAUCUGAUAAAAGAGGUGUUUCAAGAGAUUAAGAAAAUGUACUGCUGUGAUCUUACAACCUCCACAGGGUUCACAGGACAUUAUGAAAUUGAAGCAACAAAUUUGAAAUUAGAAGACCAUAAAGUAUGUCAGGAUUUACUAAAACAUGCUGUAGAUAUCAAGUGACAUUUGACAGAUGGUUUUUAAAAAAAGUGAUUGGGGCUUCCCUGGUGGCGCAGUGGUUGAGAGUCCACCUGCCGAUGCAGGGGACACGGGUUCGUGUUCCGGUCCAGGAAGAUCCCACAUGCCGCGGAGCGGCUGGGCCCGUGAGCCAUGGCCGCUGAGCCUGCGCGUCCGGAGCCUGUGCUCCGCAACAGGAGAGGCCACAGCGGUGAGAGGCCCGUGUACUGCAAAAACAAAAACAAACAAAAAAAAAGUGAUUGUAUCUCUCUAGAUGUAAACACUAUUUCAGAGAUUUACUGAUUUGUCUUGUUACGUAGAUACUUUUUUCCAUAUUUAUGAAUGCAGCAAAAAUCUCAAAUCCACAUGGAAUAUUAUAAGCAGUCUCUGAAGUCUUCAUGUUGCUCUGCCCUGCAUAUUAGAUAUGAAAUAUACACAUCUUUAAUAAUACAUCUCAAGGAAGUCACCCUGAGUAAAAAUUUCAUGAGUGCAGCAAAUCUGGAGAUUUUAUCUGGGCUCACCCUGACAGAAUUUCCUGAAGAUAACACCCUUUGCCACCAUUGAAAAUAGGUUGUUUUUGUGUAGAUGUUCGUAGAAAAGGAACUCAAGAGAAUUAGCUGAGUUGAAUGAAGCUGUUGGGUUGAAAACAUCUCUUAAGCUUACAUUGCCUUUUAAAAAAACACAGAAGUUCCUGGACUGCAGAGGAAAAUUAAUGGAAUGCUCAUUCUACCUGUGUUUCAUGAACCUCUGUAUUAGAACCACAAGAGUGAAGGAAAGAAACCUUGCCUUGUGUCUUUUACCUUGCCUCGUGUGUUCUAGGCCUGCCAAGUGUUGCCAUGAAAAGACCCUAGAUGAAGAUAAAUGUAAAGCAAGACUGCCCCGGAGCAGACACAGCAGAGUUUCAAGACCCAGGACCUAGACAUUAGGCUUAGAUGAUGUGGCUUCCUUAAAAACAGAAUUUUCACCUUGAUUUAUCACAGGAUAUUGAAUAGAGUUCCCUGGGCUAUACGGUAGGGCCUUGUUGUUUAUCCAUUCUACAUAUAAUAGUUUGCAUGUGCUAAUCCCAAACUCCCAAUCCCUCCCCCUUGGCAACCACAAGUCUGUUCUCUUAUGUCUUUGAGACUGUUUCUGUUUCAUAGAUAAGUUCAUUUGUAUCAUCAUAUUUUAGAUUCCACAUGUAAGUGAUAUCAGAUGGUGUUUGUCUUUCUCUUUCUGACUUAGUACGCUAAUCUCUAGGUCCAUCCAUGUUGCUGCAAAUGGCAUUAUUUCAUUCUUUUUUAUUAUGGCUGAGUAGUAUUCCAUUAUAUAUAUAUAUAUAUAUAUAUACACCACAUGUUCUUUAUCCAUUCAUCUGUCAUUGGACAUUUAGGUUGUUUCCAUGUCUUGGCUAUUGUAAAUAGUGCUGCUGUGAACAUAGGGGUGCAUGUAUCUUUUUGAAUUAUAGUUUUGUCCAGAUACAUGCCCAGGACUGGGAUUGUUGGAUCAUAUGGCAACUCUAUUUUUAGUUUUUUGAGGAACCUUCGUCUGUUUUCCAUAGUGGCUGCACUAAUUUACAUUCCCCCUGUAGGAGGGUUCCCUUUUCUCCACACCCUGUCCAGCAUUUGUUAUUUGUAGACAUUUUAAUGAUGGCCAUUCUGACCAGUGUGAGUUUUGAUUUGUAUUUUAGAGAUUCUUAAUUUCAGAACAGUAGGUGAAGUAAAUAUCAUAUGCCAUCUUAAACUACCAAUCAGACUUCUUGCUCUACAGAAAUUCUCCAGUCUCCCAUCAUGAAGAUACUUCACGCCCCAUAGUUGCUUUUCUUGCUUUUGCUCUCAUUUACUGCCUUUUCCCAACAAACUUACUGGAAGAAGAGUCUGCAGUCACUGUCUCAAAUUGCUUUCUCCCCAUUCACUCCUGAACAUCAAACUGCUUUUCACUAAGGUCACUGGUGGCCGCUAAAUCACACGACUGCCCUGGUUGUAUGAUUUUCAGUCAUACACUUGUCCUCUCACUUGUCUGGUUUUCAGUCCUCUCACCUGUCCUCCAUCACUGGACACGAGGAACCAUCUACUUUUACAAUCCAUCUGCCUGCCUUCUGCAGCAGCACUUUUUCUUGUUCUACUCAUUACUACUUACUUCUACUGGAUAAACGAUAAACUUGAGUUUCAUUUCCAGGCCCGAGCAGCACUGUCAGUAUGAUUUGCCAUCCUGCCUCCAACACACACACACACACACACACACACACACACACACACACACACACACACACACCUUUAUGGACACUACUCCAAUGCUUUGUGGACAAUCCACAACUCCUAAAGUUGUUCACUCUGACUCUUCUGUCUCAAAUACUUUUAUUCCAUAUCCUUCCUUCCCAGCAAAUUCCUAUUUAUCUGUCAACACGAGCUCAAAUUUCAACUUUCUCAGGCAGAGGUAGUUGCCCUUCCCAGUGUUCCCCUCUUCAUCACUUUGAGUACCUCAAACUUCAAAUUUAUUCAGGAAAGUACCUUAUUCAUCAUUAUAUCCCCAGCACUUACCACACCCUGUAUAUAGAUGCAUAUGUGGUGUUCGAAGAGGGAAAAAAUAACUGUAUUUACUAGCCAAAAUGAAAAUGAAAUCAGAAAUUUAGAAUUCCAAAAUACAUCAUGUUAGGAGCUUCCCUGGUGGCACAGUGGUUAAGAAUCCGCCUGCCAGUGCAGGGGACAUGGGUUCAAGCCCUGGUCCGGGAAGAUCCCACGUGCCGCGGAGCAGCUAAGCCCAUGUGACACAACUACUGAGCCUGUGCUCUUGAGCCCACGUGCUGCAACUACUGAAGCCCAGGCACCUAGAGCACGUGCUCUGCAACAAGAGAAGCCACCACAAUGAGAAGCCCAUGCACUGCAACGAAGAGUGGCCCCCGCUCACUGCAACUAGAGAAAGCCCAUGCGCAGCAAUGAAGACCCAACACAGCCAAAAAUAAAUAAAUUAAAAAAAAUACAUCAUGUUAUUUAUUUUUAGAAGAGAAAACAAACCUUUAUGUUUGCCUUUUAAAUUUUUUUCCUUUUAAUUUUGCAUGUUAAUAAAAAUCCACAUAUACAUAUUCUGUCUUCAUUGUACUAGGCUAAAUAGUAACACUAAGACAAUAGUAUUUCCCAGUCUUUAAAAAUCACACUUAUGAAUGAAUAAUCCUACAAUAUAAUUUUUAAUGGUAUAAAAUUUUAUUUGUACAGUUUUAGCUAUUAAAGACAGAAACUACAAAAGAAAAAAAUCUAAUAACAGUAAGAAGGAGUUGGAGGAAAUAGAGGAAUGGGAAAGUAACAGCUAACACGGUGUUUACGAUAUACAGGCACUAUUCUGAAAGCUUCACUGGUAUUAGUUGCUUAAGCCUCAUAACAGACCUAUGCAGCCAAACUAUUCAUUAUCCCCAUCCUAGAGAUGAGGAAACCAGGGCACCAAGGAGACUAAGUAACUUGUCCAAAUCACGGCUACUAAAUGGCCCAGUUGAGAUUUAAAGCAAGGCAAAUCUACCUCCAGAGCUGGUGCUAAGGGUAGAUGUGUACGAAAUAAUACGGUAGCAGUGAUUGUGUUUAGUGAAGGGACUAUGAACUAUAUUUUCCCCUUGCUGUUAAUUUCUACUUUUCUGCAUUUUUCCAAUCUUCUCCAGUCAGCAAGUAUUAUUUCUAUAAUGUGUAUAAUAAUCAGCAACUACAAGGAACAAAAAAUUUGUUUGCUAUACAUCUAGAAAAAGGGAAAUUCUAUUCCCUACUGGGAGGAGAGAAUCUUUAUCAUCCAGGAAGUAGUAUAGAAAGGUGUGUUUAGCAUAUACAGAAACUAAAUUCUGCGUGGACUCCUUAGACUCUCUACACGCCUCUUAGAAUAAUUUGUGUCACUCAUUGCAAUAACGUUUCUUUAGCUUUUAUAAAUUCCUACUUAACCUUCAAAAACAGGAUGUUAGUUCACUACUGACAAGUAUAUGUAUUGCUACAGAUUUGCCAAAAAAAGCCAAGGGUCCUUAACAUUCCAAACUCCAUUUUCUUGCCCUAUAAAUAGCCUGAUCUUUCAUAAAGAAGGUUAACGAAGUAUAAUCAGAACUACUUACAACAGAUUCAAUUCUGUGGGAAGUUGAAUCCUGAUGCUUUCAUGCAUGUGUAUACAAUUCACAAUUGAGAGAGAGGCCCUGAACUUCUGGAUCUGAUUUAUUUCCAAGGAACUGUUGAAUUAGUUCAAGGCCACUGGGUGGUGCUGGUGCAUCCUGAUAUGUAUUGUGCUCACAAGAACAGGAAGCCAAUGAUUAUCCUUAAAGCUAUCUAUGCCUAACAGACUGAGUCAUUUAUAAGAUUGGGAGGACGGGGAGAGGUUUCUGGGGUAUGUCAAAAAAAAAAAACCCUCAAAAACGUAGGGUGCACUCCCUUUUUUAAAAUUCUAGGCUGAGAAUUUUUCUAAAUCAAAAUAACCAAUCAUAAGGAAACCUGUUCACAGAAAAAAGCACCAUUUACUCUCCAAAUUCCUGAGGCCUAAAAAUAAACACCCAAAACCCAAAGCAUACAGCCUGCAAUCAGAAAUGAUACAAAAUUAUAACUUUACAUGCACAAAGCAUUUCUACUUUGUCAGACAGUACUGUGCCUAAACUGUUUCAAACAUCAAUCUCUCUCACACACACAUGCUCAACAACUUACUUUGUUAACCUAUCAAAUAUGUCACAACCCUCUUUUUUAGUCAACAAAUAUACAACUAGGUAAGUUUUCCUCUACAGCUCAUUCCAGCUAAUAUUUAAGCCUAUUUCCUUAUGAAUUGCAGAAUCACCAUAAUGUAAUAUUGCUUUGUUAUUUAUAAAAUUAGUAUAAGGUUUUAUAAAGAAUUUUUAACAUAAAGGAUAAGUAAUUUGUCAAGUCCCUGUAAUACUAAUAUGAGGGAUUUGACAAUAAUAGUACUGACAGUCCUUGCCAAUAAAGUAAAGCUGAACUGGAAUGAGGAUAUAAUGUAAAUAACCUGAAAAUAAAAUCUUUCUUUUUCUUAUUUGGAGACAUUGCAAAACACAUUUCUUCAAAUAUCAGAUCCUAACAUAGCCCAAGAUUCUAAUUUGUGAUGAUAAACUACAGUGAAACAUCAAAUAGUACUUUGAAAACCUUCAAUGAUGAAGUCAUUACUUGUUAAAAAACUAACCAUAAAUUUUUAAUCUAUCAGCUGUGCUAGAAAUUACUGCCACGGAGUUGAUUAUGAACCGAAACUCAUUUAUUGCAUUUAGACAUUUAAAUCCCAGGUGGGAGCCAGUUAAACUAUUUUCAUUUGAAAUCACGUUUUGCUAUUCAGGAUGCCAAAUAACAUAUUUUAGUCUGUACUUUUAUAGGCCUGUAUGAGGUUUGUAUGAUGUCUAGAAUCUGGCAUAGUAUUCAUUGGGACCCCGUUUGUCAGCUCAGAGACCAUUUUUAUUUCUGUUCGUGUGCUAGAAUAAAGGGCUGCUUUCAUGAAGGUAGCAGCAGCACUGGGGUCAGGGAUGUGAUCCAUGUUCACUCAGCUGCUCACAAGCCCCACCUCUUUGGUAAACAUGAGACUUCUGACCUCAUCACAGGAUACUGCUAUUGCCAAGGAAGUAACCAAGGGACAACUUGAGAAAGUCAAACAGAGUAAGUGGCCAUUGACAGAUGUUGUUUAGUUAAUGGAAAGAAUGAGCAGAGAGGCAGACAAGCAUGCUGAAGAUCAGUAUAGCUUCUGGUGUGAUAUAGCAGAGUAUGAAUCAAAUCAACAAUACUCCACGUCUAGGAAUUUGAUCUAAGAAAAUAAUUAAACAGGUGAUGAGAACCUUCAGCACAAAGAAACUUAUUGCCUCUGUAGAGUAGAGAAUAAUGAAAAACAACCUAAAUGACUAGCAAUAAAAGAAUUGCUAAGCAAAUUUUGAUACAUCCACUCAGAGAAAGUUGCAUACUCAUUACGGAUUAUCAUUGUGAGAUCUAUAGAAACAAAAUAAUUAUGGUAUUUUUAAAGUGAAAGUCACUGUAAAAUGUUAAAUACAUAUGUGUACAAAUUAUGUAAAAAAUGUUUUUGCAGAUAAAAACUAGAAGAUUAUUCUCAGAUAUGGUAAUGUAUUAAUGUAGUAGGAUUAGAGGGGUUUUUUUUUCUUUUUCAGAACUUUCUUUUAUGUCAUUGUGCUGUUUUAGAAUAAGAAAAGUAAAAUAUUUGGAGAAGUAUUAGCUUUUAAGAAAAACAGCAAUGUGUACUUUAUCCUGAAAAUCAAAAUCUGGAAAAAAGGCAAAUACACUUAAUUCAAAACAGUAGAUCAGAAAAAGAUCCCCAGACUACUAUCUGGUAAGGGGGAAUACAACAACAAAUCAGGAAAAGUUUAUUAAGUAUAUAAUUUUUUCCAAGUAUAUCAAAAAAGCCAUUCCUAUUUGCCUUUAGUGCAUUUUCUGACAGCCUUUGUAAGGUUUUACUUCAGCUGAUACUAGCAAUCACACCAACUGUAAUUGGAGUGGUGCCCCAAAAUGUGGGUACAUUCUUGGUAGCAUGAGUAAACUGGCUUCCUUAAAAA